rnacentral:piRNA from 1 species
GGCUAUAACAGGUUGUUAGCUUGAU